ensembl:misc_RNA 7SK 7SK RNA
AGAUGUGAGUGCGAUCUGGCUGGGACAUCUGUCACCCUAUUGAUCCCCGGGAUUGAUUCGACUGAUCGGGCUGGCUACCCGAGUGUCCCCUUCCUCUCUGACUUCUGCAUGCGUCUCUGCUGCAGCGGCGUGCUUGGUUGAAAAAGACGACCAUCCCCAGCAGAGGAGGACAUGUUCCUCCGUCGAGGGAUAUGAGUAGCUGCUAUCAUCUCCAAACAAGCUCUGAAUAUACAGAAAGAAAUUAGAAUAGGAAGGUUCUAUAUGUAGCCAUAUAAAUGGCUUUAUUU